UAUUAGUUGGUUUUGUUUCAUUGCCCUUUGCUGGUUCCUCUCGUUGCACAACUCGGAUCUCUACCCUCGACUUUGCCAUGUUCUUGCAGAACCUGCAGACACCUCCUGAACACCUUCUAUGACUCUGUGGUGGCAUCAGUCAUUCUGUAUGGUGUGGUCAGCUGGAGCAGCAGCAUACAGACAGGGAAAGGAAGAAGCUCAUCAGGAUGUGCAGCUUUGUCCUGGGCUGUCCUCCGGACAACAGGAGGUGGGUGAAAGAAGGGUCCUCGCAGGAAAAGUCAUCCAUGCUGGACCACUAGUCACACCCCCUGCAGGACGACCUGCCAGCUCUGGAGAGCAGCUUCAGGGACAGACUGCUCCACCCACGGUAUAUGAAGGAGAGAUUUCGCAGGUCUUUUCUUCCUGCUGCUGUCAGACUGUACAAUGGACAAUUCUGAGCCUGUGUAAUGUAUACAAAUGUAUGUGCAAUUUACUAUUUUUUUGAAAUGGUGUGUGUAUAGCCACAUUUUAUAUAGUUGUGUAUUAUUCUAGUGUAGUUUUUUAAUUCUUUUGAAAACGUAUUCUGGUUUGUCCUAUGCUUCUGUUGGAUGCUGUUCUCACUUUACUGCUGUUGCAACAAAGCAAUAUCCCCACUGCGGAACAAAUUAAGGUUUUCCGAAGCCAGGUAAGAAACUAACUGUAAACGUAUGAGAUGGCUAAAGGGGCGAAAUGAACAACCUCUUUUUUUCAUCAAGUGGAACCAAAUAGACAUAAAAAUGUUUUGGUACUAAUUUUCAAA